rfam:Loxodonta africana unplaced genomic scaffold scaffold_96, whole genome shotgun sequence.
GCAGUGGUAGUUCAGUGGUAGAAUUCUAGCCUUCCAUGUAGGAGACUCAGGUUUGAUUCCCAGUCAAUGCA